GACGAACGCUGGCGGCGUGCUUAACACAUGCAAGUCGAACGAAGAGCGAUGGAAGCUUGCUUCUAUCACUCUUAGUGGCGAACGGGUGAGUAACGCGUAAUCAACCUGCCCUUCAGAGGGGGACAACAGUUGGAAACGACUGCUAAUACCGCAUACGAUCCAAUCUCGGCAUCGGGACUGGAUGAAAGGUGGCCUCUAUUUAUAAGCUAUCACUGAAGGAGGGGAUUGGGUCUGAUUAGCUAGUUGGAGGGGUAACGGCCCACCAAGGCGAUGAUCAGUAGACGGUCUGAGAGGAUGAACGGCCACAUUGGGACUGAGACACGGCCCAGACUCCUACGGGAGGCAGCAGUGGGGAAUCUUCCGCAAUGGACGAAAGUCUGACGGAGCAACGCCGCGUGAGUGAUGACGGCCUUCGGGUUGUAAAGCUCUGUUAAUCGGGACGAAUGGUUCUUGUGCGAAUAGUGCGAGGAUUUGACGGUACCGGAAUAGAAAGCCACGGCUAACUACGUG
rnacentral:rRNA from 1 species